rnacentral:rRNA from 1 species
AGUAACGCGUGGGAAUCUACCCUGGUGUGGGGGAUAACCGCUGGAAACGGCGGCUAAUACCGCAUACGCCCAAAUCUGGAGACAGGUUUGGGGAAAGCUUUAUGCGCACUGGGACGAGCCCGCGUUAGAUUAGGUAGUUGGUGGGGUAACGGCCUACCAAGCCGACGAUCUAUAGCUGGUCUGAGAGGAUGAUCAGCCACACUGGGACUGAGACACGGCCCAGACUCCUACGGGAGGCAGCAGUGGGGAAUAUUGGACAAUGGGGGCAACCCUGAUCCAGCCAUGCCGCGUGCGUGAAGAAGGCCUUAGGGUUGUAAAGCGCUUUCACUGGUGAAGAUGAUGACGGUAACCAGAGAAGAAGCCCCGGCUAACUCCGUGCCAGCAGCCGCGGUAAUACGGAGGGGGCAAGCGUUGUUCGGAAUUACUGGGCGUAAAGGGCGCGUAGGCGGACGGUCAAGUUAGGGGUGAAAGGCCUGGGCUCAACCUAGGAACGGCCUCUAAAACUGGCAGUCUAGAGACCGGAAGAGGAUGGCGGAAUUCCUAGUGUAGAGGUGAAAUUCGUAGAUAUUAGGAAGAACACCGGUGGCGAAGGCGGCCAUCUGGUCCGGAUCUGACGCUGAGGCGCGAAAGCGUGGGGAGC